UCCCUUGUGGCUCAGAUGGUAAAGCGUCUGCCUACAAUGCAGGAGACCCGGGUUCGAUCCCUGGGUUGGGAA
rnacentral:tRNA from 1 species